UGUUCGCCAUUUAAAGUGGUACGCGAGCUGGGUUUAGAACGUCGUGAGACAGUUUGGUCCCUAUCUGGUGUGGGCGUUAGAAACUUGAGAGGAGCUGCUCCUAGUACGAGAGGACCGGAGUGGACGUACCUCUGGUGUUCCAGUUGUCAUGCCAAUGGCAUUGCUGGGUAGCUAUGUACGGACGGGAUAACCGCUGAAAGCAUCUAAGCGGGAAGCCCCCCUCAAGAUUAGGUUUCUCUGGACCUUCGAGGUCCCUGUAGGGUCGUCGUAGACUACGACGUUGAUAGGCGGGGUGUGGAAGUGCAGCAAUGCAUUAAGCUAACCCGUACUAAUUGCCCGUGAGGCUUGAUCAUAUAACACCCAAGAAG
rnacentral:rRNA from 1 species